AAAUUGAAGAGUUUGAUCAUGGCUCAGAUUGAACGCUGGCGGCAGGCCUAACACAUGCAAGUCGAACGGUAACAGGAAGAAGCUUGCUUCUUUGCUGACGAGUGGCGGACGGGUGAGUAAUGUCUGGGAAACUGCCCGAUGGAGGGGGAUAACUACUGGAAACGGUAGCUAAUACCGCAUAACGUCGCAAGACCAAAGAGGGGGACCUUCGGGCCUCUUGCCAUCGGAUGUGCCCAGAUGGGAUUAGCUUGUUGGUGAGGUAACGGCUCACCAAGGCGACGAUCCCUAGCUGGUCUGAGAGGAUGACCAGCCACACUGGAACUGAGACACGGUCCAGACUCCUACGGGAGGCAGCAGUGGGGAAUAUUGCACAAUGGGCGCAAGCCUGAUGCAGCCAUGCCGCGUGUAUGAAGAAGGCCUUCGGGUUGUAAAGUACUUUCAGCGGGGAGGAAGGGAGUAAAGUUAAUACCUUUGCUCAUUGACGUUACCCGCAGAAGAAGCACCGGCUAACUCCGUGCCAGCAGCCGCGGUAAUACGGAGGGUGCAAGCGUUAAUCGGAAUUACUGGGCGUAAAGCGCACGCAGGCGGUUUGUUAAGUCAGAUGUGAAAUCCCCGGGCUCAACCUGGGAACUGCAUCUGAUACUGGCAAGCUUGAGUCUCGUAGAGGGGGGUAGAAUUCCAGGUGUAGCGGUGAAAUGCGUAGAGAUCUGGAGGAAUACCGGUGGCGAAGGCGGCCCCCUGGACGAAGACUGACGCUCAGGUGCGAAAGCGUGGGGAGCAAACAGGAUUAGAUACCCUGGUAGUCCACGCCGUAAACGAUGUCGACUUGGAGGUUGUGCCCUUGAGGCGUGGCUUCCGGAGCUAACGCGUUAAGUCGACCGCCUGGGGAGUACGGCCGCAAGGUUAAAACUCAAAUGAAUUGACGGGGGCCCGCACAAGCGGUGGAGCAUGUGGUUUAAUUCGAUGCAACGCGAAGAACCUUACCUGGUCUUGACAUCCACGGAAGUUUUCAGAGAUGAGAAUGUGCCUUCGGGAACCGUGAGACAGGUGCUGCAUGGCUGUCGUCAGCUCUCGUGUUGUGAAAUGUUGGGUUAAGUCCCGCAACGAGCGCAACCCUUAUCCUUUGUUGCCAGCGGUCCGGCCGGGAACUCAAAGGAGACUGCCAGUGAUAAACUGGAGGAAGGUGGGGAUGACGUCAAGUCAUCAUGGCCCUUACGACCAGGGCUACACACGUGCUACAAUGGCGCAUACAAAGAGAAGCGACCUCGCGAGAGCAAGCGGACCUCAUAAAGUGCGUCGUAGUCCGGAUUGGAGUCUGCAACUCGACUCCAUGAAGUCGGAAUCGCUAGUAAUCGUGGAUCAGAAUGCCACGGUGAAUACGUUCCCGGGCCUUGUACACACCGCCCGUCACACCAUGGGAGUGGGUUGCAAAAGAAGUAGGUAGCUUAACCUUCGGGAGGGCGCUUACCACUUUGUGAUUCAUGACUGGGGUGAAGUCGUAACAAGGUAACCGUAGGGGAACCUGCGGUUGGAUCACCUCCUUA
rnacentral:rRNA from 1 species